rnacentral:rRNA from 1 species
UACCAGCCCCCGAGUGGUGGGGAUGAUUAUUUGGCCUAAAGCGUUCGUAGCCGGCUCAGUAAGUCCUCCGUUAAAUCUGACGACUUAAUCGUCAGGCUGCGGGAGAUACUGCUGGGCUAGGAGGCGGAAGAGGUCGACGGUAUUCCAGGGGUAGGGGUGGAAUCCUAUAAUCCUUGGAAGACCACCAGUGGCGAAGGCUGUCGGCUAGAACGCGCCCGACGGUGAGGGAUGAAAGCUGGGGGAGCGAACCGGAUUAGAUACCCGGGUAGUCCCAGCUGUAAACGAUGCAGGCUAGGUGUUUGGGCGGCCACGUGCCGCUCUAGUGCCGCAAGGAAGCUGUUAAGCCUGCCGCCUGGGGAGUACGGCCGCAAGGCUGAAACUUAAGGAAUUGGCGGGGGAGCACCACAAGGGGUGAAGCUUGCGGUUU